UCCGAUAUGGUGUAACGGCUAACAUUGCCGCCUUUCAUGGGGAUAUCCCAAUGGUCGCGGCAGCUCGGGGUUCGAUUCCCCGUAUCGGAG
rfam:Jaapia argillacea MTCL 33604 unplaced genomic scaffold JAAARscaffold_1, whole genome shotgun sequence.